UACAGAGGGGGCAAGCGUUGUUCGGAAUUACUGGGCGUAAAGGGCGCGCAGGCGGCUGCUCAAGUCAGGCGUGAAAGGCCUGGGCUCAACCCGGGAAUUGCGCUUGAGACUGGGCUGGCUUGAGUGCGGGAGAGGAUGGUGGAAUUCCCAGUGUAGAGGUGAAAUUCGUAGAUAUUGGGAAGAACACCGGUGGCGAAGGCGGCCAUCUGGACCGCAACUGACGCUGAGGCGCGAAAAGCGUGGGGAGCAAACAGG
rnacentral:rRNA from 1 species